GACGAACGCUGGCGGCGUGCUUAACACAUGCAAGUCGAGCGGUAAGGCUCCUUCGGGAGUACACGAGCGGCGAACGGGUGAGUAACACGUGAGUAAUCUGCCCUUCACUUCGGGAUAACCACCGGAAACGGUGGCUAAUACCGAAUACGACCAGUCUUCGCAUGAGAUGCUGGUGGAAAGUCUUUUCGGUGAAGGAUGUGCUCGCGGCCUAUCAGCUUGUUGGUGGGGUAAUGGCCUACCAAGGCUUCGACGGGUAGCCGGCCUGAGAGGGUGACCGGCCACACUGGGACUGAGACACGGCCCAGACUCCUACGGGAGGCAGCAGUGGGGAAUAUUGGACAAUGGGCGAAAGCCUGAUCCAGCAACGCCGCGUGAGGGAUGACGGCCUUCGGGUUGUAAACCUCUUUCAGUACCGACGAAGCGCCCUGUCGGGUGGUGACGGUAGGUACAGAAGAAGGACCGGCCAACUACGUG
rnacentral:rRNA from 1 species